UGAGCUUGAUYCUGGCUCAGGACGAACGCUGGCGGUAUGCCUAAUACAUGCAAGUCGAACGCUGAAGCACUCUGCUUGCAGAGUGCGGAUGAGUGGCGAACGGGUGAGUAACACGUGGGUAACCUGCCCAUAAGAGGGGGAUAACAUCCGGAAACGGGUGCUAAUACCGCAUAGGUGAACGGAGCGCAUGCUCUGUUCAUUAAAGGUGGCCUUGCGCUACCGCUUAUGGAUGGACCCGCGGCGUAUUAGCUAGUUGGUGAGGUAAUGGCUCACCAAGGCGAUGAUACGUAGCCGACCUGAGAGGGUGAUCGGCCACACUGGGACUGAGACACGGCCCAGACUCCUACGGGAGGCAGCAGUAGGGAAUCUUCCACAAUGGGCGAAAGCCUGAUGGAGCAAUACCGCGUGAGUGAAGAAGGUCUUCGGAUCGUAAAGCUCUGUUGUUAGAGAAGAAAC
rnacentral:rRNA from 1 species